UUCGGUUCGAUCUUGGUCUCUGCUGUGGUUCUUCGUCUCGCUUAGAUUGAUAGUGAGGGAGGUUGUUGAUCGGCAUAGACAGGUCUCAAUUUUCGUUUGUUUCCAGCUUGGAGGCAUAAAAGAUUGUAUCUGAAUUGCAAAGCUCUGAUUUUUGGUGUGGAUGGAGGAUUUUAAUUAGCCGAGCUCUUUCUUUCUGUUCUUAUCAAUUGAUGCCCAAGUAUAUAAAGCAAAACGUGUAAUCUGCUGUGUUCGGGAAGCCUCCAUCAACAUCCGGAAUCACUGUUAGUAACCUCAGAGUCGGCAAUCAUGCAGAAUCACCAACAGUGAGGACUCGUCUCUGUAAAAGUUCAAGGAGUGAGAUACAAAAGAGCAAAGGACAAAUCAAUUUACGUUUGUUUUGGAGAAGGGCACGAUCUGCUGCACGAAUUAGAUUCAGAGAAAAUUCUUGACUGCCAAUUCUAAUCCCCUUAACAGAGGUAAACUUUUAAACCUUUUUUCCUUUUGGGAAUUUGAUUAAAGUUUGUUCCUUUUGCUUUGUGUGAUUGAAACUUGGUUUGUUAUCGAUGGUUUUGUGGUUUUGAAUCGGUGGUUUUUGUUGUGGUUGAGUUUCAAUUGAUUUGGGUUUUCAUGUUUUAGGGUAUUGAUUUGGGUUUCGAUGUUUUUGUUGAGGUUUUGAUUUUCGGUGAUUACAAAGGUUUUUUGCAAAGGAGUAUGUGGAUUGUUCUUUUGCCGCUGUUCCUGGUUUUGUUAAUUGCUGUUAGUUGGUUGUCCUGUCGUGGUUCAGGUAUCUAACUUUUGCCUUUAGAUUAUUGAAUGUUCAGGUAUUUUUGUGAUUACUCGGCAGGGGGUAUAUUUGAUAGAGGGUAUGCAAUGUUAUGGUUGAUUGUAUAGAGAUGGUUUGUUUGGCCGUUGUUGUAUUUGGAUGAUAGAAUUUGUUUCGAUAUUGGGAACAGUGUGCGAUCAAAUUUUGGAAGUGCUUUGAAUUC
rnacentral:lncRNA from 1 species